UAGCGACAGGCCUAACACAUGCAAGUCAGGGGCAGCACAAGGAGCAAUCUGAGGUGGCGACCGGCGGCACGGGUGAGUAACACGGUAUGCAAACCCUGGACCCUGGUAAGCCGGGAAAUAACCCGUUGAAAGACGGACUAAUACCGCAUAAUACUAAAUUACUGCAUGGUAAUUUAUUUAAACAUUUAUGGCUUACAGAUGGGCAUGCGCAUGAUUAGCUAGUUGGAGAGGUAACGGCUCCCCAAGGCAACGAUCAUUAGGGGUUCUGAGAGGAAGGUCCCCCACACUGGUACUGAGACACGGACCAGACUCCUACGGGAGGCAGCAGUGAGGAAUAUUGGUCAAUGGACGAGAGUCUGAACCAGCCAAGUCGCGUGCAGGAAGAAUGUCCCUAUGGAUUGUAAACUGCUUUUGCAGGGGAAUAAAGUGCAUCACGUGUGAUGUUUUGUAUGUACUCUGCGAAUAAGGAUCGGCUAACUCCGUGCCAGCAGCCGC
rnacentral:rRNA from 1 species